AUACGGAGGGUGCAAGCGUUAUUCGGAAUCACUGGGCGUAAAGGACGCGUAGGCGGGUUGGCAAGUCAGAUGUGAAAUCCUACAGCUUAACUGUAGAACUGCAUUUGAAACUGCUAACCUAGAGUAUGGGAGGGGGAGAUGGAAUUAGUGGUGUAGGGGUAAAAUCCGUAGAUAUCACUAGGAAUACCGAAAGCGAAGGCCAUCUCCUGGAACAUAACUGACGCUAAGGCGUGAAAGCGUGGGGAGCAAACAGGAUUAGAAACCCUAGUAGUCC
rnacentral:rRNA from 1 species